rnacentral:rRNA from 1 species
UACGAAGGGGGCUAGCGUUGUUCGGAAUUACUGGGCGUAAAGCGUGCGCAGGCGGCUUCUCAAGUCAGGGGUGAAAGCCCAGAGCUCAACUCUGGAAUUGCCUUUGAGACUGAGUGGCUUGGAGUACGAGAGAGGUGAGUGGAAUUCCCAGUGUAGAGGUGAAAUUCGUAGAUAUUGGGAAGGAACACCGGUGGCGAAGGCGGCUCACUGGACAGCAACUGACACUCAACUGGCGAAAAGCGUGGGGAGCAAACAGG